rnacentral:rRNA from 1 species
CACGUAGGCGGGCUGUUAAGUUAGAGGUGAAAUCCCGGGGCUCAACCCCGGAACGGCCUUUAAUACUGGCAGUCUUGAGUUCGAGAGAGGUGAGUGGAACUCCGAGUGUAGAGGUGAAAUUCGUAGAUAUUCGGAAGAACACCAGUGGCGAAGGCGGCUCACUGGCUCGAUACUGACGCUGAGGUGCGAAAGUGUGGGGAGCAAACAGGAUUAGAUACCCUGGUAGUCC